GACGAACGCUGGCGGCGUGCUUAACACAUGCAAGUCGAACGAAGUGGCGAACGGGUGAGUAACGCGUAAUCAACCUGCCCUUCAGAGGGGGACAACAGUUGGAAACGACUGCUAAUACCGCCUACUGAAGGUGGGGAUUGCGUCUGAUUCGCUAGUUGGCGGGGUAACGGCCGACCAAGGCGAUGAUCAGUCGCCGGUCUGGGAGGAUGGACGGCCACAUUGGGACUGAGACACGGCCCAGACUCCUACGGGAGGCAGCAGGGGGGAAUCUUCCGCAAUUGACGAAAGUCUGACGGAGCAACGCCGCGUUAGUGAUGACGGCCUUCGGGUUGUAAAGCUCUGUUAAUCGGGACGCGGUACCGGAAUAGAAAGCCACGGCUAACUACGUGCCAGCAGCCGCGGUAAUUC
rnacentral:rRNA from 1 species